rnacentral:sRNA from 1 species
AGGCUGCAUUGGUUAUAUCCAUAUUAUAUUUUGGCAAUAAUAUUAU